AAUAGAUACCCGGGUAGUCCACGCAGUAAACGAUGUAGACUGGCUAUGUGUAGAGUAAUUCCGUGCGUAGCGAAGCUAACGCGUUAAGUUUACCGCCUGGGGAGCACGGUCGCAAGACUAAAACUCAAAGAAAUUGACGGGGGCCCGCACAAGCGGUGGGGCAUGUGGUUUAAUUCGAUGCAACUCGAAAAACCUUACCUACCUUUGACAUCCUUAGAAUCUGACUGAGAGGUUGGAGUGCCGAAAGGAACUAAGUGACAGGUGCUGCAUGGCUGUCGUCAGCUCGUGUCGUGAGAUGUUGGGUUAAGUCCCCUAACGAGCGCAACCCUUAUCCCUUGUUGCUACCAGGUAAUGCUGGGCACUCUAGGGAGACUGCCAGUGAUAAGCUGGAGGAAGGUGAGGAUGAGGUCAAGUCAUCAUGGCCUUUAUGGGUAGGGCAACACACGUGCUACAAUGGGAUACACAAUGAGUCGCAAACUCGCGAGAGCAAGCUAAUCUCUUAAAUUAUCUCGUAGUCCGGAUU
rnacentral:rRNA from 1 species